ACAGCAGCAGCCGCGGUAAUACGAAGGGGGCUAGCGUUGUUCGGAAUUACCGGGCGUAAAGCGCACGUAGGCGGAUAUUUAAGUCAGGGGUGAAAUCCCAGAGCUCAACUCUGGAACUGCCUUUGAUACUGGGUAUCUUGAGUAUGGAAGAGGUGAGUGGAAUUCCGAGUGUAGAGGUGAAAUUCGUAGAUAUUCGGGGGAACACCAGUGGCGAAGGCGGCUCACUGGUCCAUUACUGACGCUGAGGUGCGAAAGCGUGGGGAGCAAACAGGAUUAGAUACCCCUGUAGUCCCUGUCUCUUAUAC
rnacentral:rRNA from 1 species